GGAAGCGGAAGGAGCUCCUGAGAUGGGACUACCUCGAGAAGUAGAUGCAACAUUUCCAGCAACAGUAAUAUUUCCUCCAGUUAAACUCCAGUUGACAGGAUUUUGGUUCAAAUUUCUCAAGUCAGUAGCGGGUAUGAACAUUGGAUGCUGUGAAAUGUUCCUGGGAACACUUCUUGAGCUUGGUUCUUCAUAUGCUGCAGAAUCUCUAUCCCCAAAAACAGAAAAACUUGAUGAACUGCCAGCUCUUGAGCUUGAUGAUAAAUCCCACCUAUGCGCACUUCGCCGCAGAGAAGGAACCUGCGCCGUUAUAGGCUGGCCUCGAGGAAUUCCAUUAUCUGCAGCAGACAGAGACCUCAAAUCCAAGGAUUCAUUACGAAACAGCCUCGAUGAAUCCCGUUCAAAUGGCAUGCUAUCGUUUCCAUCAUUACCCGCAGUACGAAACAAAU
rnacentral:lncRNA from 1 species